rnacentral:rRNA from 1 species
CGUAAAGCGCAUGCAGGUGGUUUGUUAAGUCAGAUGUGAAAGACCCCGGGCCGUCAACCUACGGGAAGUUUGCAUUUGUAAACUAGGCAAACUAGAGUACUGUAGAGGGGGGUAGGAAUUUCAGGUGUAGCGGUGAAAAUGCGUAGAGAUCUGAAGGAAUACCGGUGGCGAAGGCGGCCCCCUCGGACAGAUACUGACACUCAGAUGCGAAAGCGUGGGGAGCAAACAGGAUUAGAUACCCUGGUAG